GUCAGACCAGGUUGUAUUCGUGGGAGCAUAUUGUUAUACUUUUGCCUCGGCCCAUGUCAGAAAAGAGUUUCCACAGACACACGGGACGCGAUUUUUCACCGACCGAUAACUAUUUGAUCCUGGUUUAAGUUUUUCAAAUAUUUAGAAGCGCUAUAACAUUUUUUGGUCCACAUAUCUUUUAAAAUUUCCUUUCAUUGGCUGUUUUAUUAACUUUACAAACUCAAAAAUCGUGCAUGCCUCGUUGUCGAAUCGCGUCCGCGGUGUUUCUCGGCCUUGAAACUACGAAGCGUCGCAGGUUUCUUCUCGAAUAGCAACACGAGUUCAAUUCAGAGUUGUAGACUCGAGUCGUGUGACUUGGACUCGAGUCGCAAUUUUUGUGACUUGUGACUUGACUUGUUAAAG